rnacentral:rRNA from 1 species
CCUACGGGCGGCAGCAGUGAGGAAUAUUGGUCAAUGGACGAGAGUCUGCACCAGCCAAGUAGCGUGAAGGAUGACUGCCCUAUGGGUUGUAAACUUCUUUUGACAGGGAAGAGCAGAAGACGGUACCUGUCGAAUAAGCCACGGCUAACUACGUGCCAGCAGCCGCGGUAAUACGUAGGUGGCAAGCGUUGUGCGGAUUGACUGGAUGCAAAGGGCGUGUAGCCGGGCUGACAAGUCAGAUGUGAAAUCCGGGGGCUCAACCCCCGAACUGCAUUUGAAACUGUUGGUCUUGAGUGUCGGAGAGGACGGCGGAAUUUCUAGUGUAGCGGUGAAAAUCGUAGAUAUUAGG